ACUGCAUAUUAUUUCUAUGUAUGAAUAUAUAUAACUUUCCCUCUUUUUAGCCUACUCUAGCAGGGCAAUGCAGAAUGUUCGUCCCUAAACUGUAGGUUAAUCAUAGGAGCACUGACACCAGAUUUUAUGAGGCUUACUCUGUUUCUUUAUUCAGUAAACGUGAAGGAGCUGAGAGAAACAGCAGAGGAAACCAAAGGGCUGUCCAUUCUGAUGCCCAUGAUGAGACAUACACAGCUCUCAACCCCAGGAGCACAUCCUCUGAGUAUGACACUCUGCAGGCCUCAGUGUAUGAGACUCUGCAGAGAAGAGAGACGCCCCAGUCAGAGAUGGAGCUGAAGGAUCUCGGGAUGAGAUGCCAACACCAACCAUGACUUCUGGACUCUCCAUCUUAUACUUACUGCUG